rnacentral:lncRNA from 1 species
CGGUCCCAGUUCGCGGUUGUCAUAACGGCCCUGCUCCAGCUAAUAAAGCCAUCUAUCUGGUUCUGGCAACCUGAAGCCACAGCGUGACAGCUCCUUCCCUGCAAGCUUCAGAUGAUGAGUCCUGGCUUUUCAUCCCAUUGAAGAGUCUCUCUGUACUCAGAAGACUUAUUUUUCAGCCUGAG